rnacentral:rRNA from 1 species
UACGUAGGGGCCGAGCGUUGUCCGGAGUUAUUGGGCGUAAAGCGCGCGCAGGCGGCCUCGCGCGCCCGACGUGAAAGCCCCCGGCUUAACCGGGGAGGGUCGUUGGGGACGGCGGGGCUUGAGGGCGGGAGAGGUCGGUGGAAUUCCCGGUGUAGUGGUGAAAUGCGCAGAUAUCAGGAGGAACACCGGUGGCGAAGGCGGGUCUCUGGGCCGAUACUGACGCUGAGGAGCGAAAGCGUGGGGAGCGAACAGG